rnacentral:rRNA from 1 species
GUGCCAGCAGCCGCGGUAAUACAGAGGUCCCAAGCGUUGUUCGGAUUUACUGGGCGUAAAGGGUGCGUAGGCGGUCGGGUAAGUCUGGUGUGAAAUCUCCGAGCUUAACUCGGAAAUGGCAUUGGAUACUAUUCGGCUCGAGAGUUGGAGGGGGGACUGGAAUACUUGGUGUAGCAGUGAAAUGCGUAGAUAUCAAGUGGAACACCAGUGGCGAAGGCGAGUCCCUGGACAACUUCUGACGCUGAGGCACGAAAGCUAGGGGAGCAAACAGGAUUAGAUACCCUGGUAGUCC